rnacentral:rRNA from 1 species
AUUGAACGCUGGCGGCAGGCCUAACACAUGCAAGUCGAACGAGUGGCGGACGGGUGAGUAAUGUCUGGGAAACUGCCUGAUGGAGGGGGAUAACUACUGGAAACGGUAGCUAAUACCGCAUACCAUCGGAUGUGCCCAGAUGGGAUUAGCUAGGAGGUGGGGUAACGGCUCACCUAGGCGACGAUCCCUAGCUGGUGUGAGAGGAUGACCAGCAACACGGGAACUGAGACACGGUCCAGACUCCUAGGGGAGGAAGCAGUGGGGAAUAUUGCACAAUGGGCGCAAGCCUGAUGCAGCCAUGCCGCGUGUAUGAAGAAGGCCUGCGGUUGGUAAAGUACUUUCAGCGGGGAGGCGUUACCCGCAGAAGAAGCACCGGCUAACUCCGUGCCAGCCGCCGCGGUAAUAC